rnacentral:snRNA from 8 species
CGACUCUGGUUUCUCUUCAUUACGCACAAGCCUUUCGCCUUUUACUAAAGACUUCCGUGGAGAGGAACACUUACGAGUUCAACGUAUUUUUGGAAGGGAUUUGCUUCUGGCAGAGCC